rnacentral:rRNA from 1 species
GACGAACGCUGGCGGCGUGCCUAACACAUGCAAGUCGAACGAUGAAGCUGAAGCUUUUGUUUUGGUGGAUUAGUGGCGAACGGGUGAGUAAUACGUGAGUAACCUGCCCUUGUCUUUGGGAUAAGCCUGGGAAACUGGGUCUAAUACCGGAUAUUCUGCUUCUGCCGCAUGGUGGGGGUUGGAAAGAUUUUUUUGGAUGGGGAUGGGCUCACGGCCUAUCAGCUUGUUGGUGGGGUGAUGGCCUACCAAGGCGACGAUCAGUAGCCGGACUGAGAGGUUGAACGGCCACAUUGGGACUGAGACACGGCCCAG